rnacentral:lncRNA from 1 species
AAUUCUUGUGACAUGAAAGAGAAAAAGAUGAUGAUGAAGAAUCUUCUCUAUUUUUCCUUUAAAAUAUCAUCAUUAUUAUUACUAUAAAAUAUAAUAAUAGUAAUAUCAGUAAUAAUAAAAUAUAAAAUAAAAUAUUAUAACUUAUUCAUAAAAAUCUUUGUAAUAGGCCCAUUUCGCCCGGGCCCACACAAAAACCAAAAAAACAAAAUAAAUAAAAUCAAAUGUUUUAAUAGUCCCAGUCCAUUUACAUUUAUAGCCCAAUAAACCCCAAAGAGCCUGAGUUAAUUUAAAACCUAAAUAAGUCCAUAUCAAUUAGCCUAAGUACAAAAGCCCAAAAAUAACAGCCCAAAUUUAAACCUUUGGCCCAAGUAAAAUUAACCCAAAAAGGCCCGAUGUCUAAACUCUUUCAGAAACCCUAAGGGUUUCUGAAGUUUCCUCGCUCCGCAAUAGCCUCCAAGCUCCAGCAGCUUGACUCCGGGAUAAGCUCACAGGGCCCAAGCAGGUUGAAGCUUCUGGAAGCCUCUACUACAGUUCCCACGAACAGCCCCACUGCGUCAGCAACACCAUGACCUUCCUCCUGCAACAGAUUAACAAACGAAAACAGCAAACAAGCCAUGGGCAGCAAAUAACAGCAAAUUACAAGAAGGAAAUUUGUAUUUAUUUUAUUUUAUUUUUCAGCUAUAAAGACCGAAUGAAACGAUGUAAAUGGGAUCUUUUUUCACAGAAAUACACACGCAUAUUGAAAGAAAGAAAAAUCAAUUCGAAAUCAAUUUUUAAGGGGAUUUUAGAUCGUUUUCUUCUUUGAUUUUUGUUUUUAUUUCCUCAAUCCGUAUACACGGAUAUUAAAAAAAGACAAAGGAUCCUAGAUCAUUUUUUUAGAAGAAAUCGACAUAGCAAAUACAGAGGAAAAAGAAAGAUCUCUUACCUAUCGAUCUGCGCAGAUCUAGUCGGUGGUUGUUUCACCGGUCCAAAGGUAGAUGGAUCUUGAGGAUUCGACUUAAACCAUGACGGAGUAGGUGUGUUUGGUGCCACCGUCGCACGUAGAUCGAUCGAAGGGAAAGAGGGCAGUAAGAGGAUUGAGGGAAAAUUUUUCUUAAAAAAACUCCUUUUGUUUUAAGGAAAUAAUCGGCUAAAUGAAUGCAUUAGGGCAAAAGAUUUUAGUUUAUAUAUGUUUAAAAUGGCACCGUUUUUGUGCCUGAGGUCUGAACGUCUAAACGACGUCGUUUCACAUCCUUUGACCCGCGCCUGGAUCCAACCCGCAGACUGGAUCCGCGCGUUUUCUUGCUGAAGGGGUUAUUUGGGCAGUUAGUUCCUACUCUCCUGCACCGAUCUCUAAUUCGGCCUUGAUUUUGUUUAUUUGUUUGUAUAUUUUCCCUGAAAUUCGCGCAUUGUUACAAUUUAAUCCUUGUUUAAACGCAGCGUUGUGAGAUUUGGUAUAUUUUCAGUUUUGAUCCUCAAUCAUUUGUGCACAUUCUAUUUCGAUCCUCAGCUCAGUUUUAAUGACUUUUUUUAUUUAUAAAUCAUCCUUUCAAUUUUGUUUUUGUUUCCAUUAGGUUUAGUUUACGUUUUAUAUUCUUUAAGAUUUAUUUAUUUAUGUAUUUUUUUAACUUAUUAUUUUAUAUAUUAUUUUGUUUUAUUUUUUUAAAUACAUUUUGUUUUAUUUUUUAAAAUUUUCUUUUAUAUAUUGUUGAAUUGUUUUAUUAUAUAAAUUAUUAUUUUAAAAUUUUCUCUAUGUAAAUUUAUAUUUAAAAGAUUUAUAUAAUAUUCAGCCUCAUACAUUGAUAUUUAUAUAUACAUAUACAUAUUUUAUGUCAAAUUACUUAUUUGAAUCCUCUUUUGAACAUGUUCAUAUAAUUUUUCUUUAAAAUUUUACUUAUAUAUAUUAUUUGUUUCUUUUACAUCCAAUUUUGGGUAUUAUAUAUUUCGUUUCAAAUAUUUUCUUAUCUUAUUAUCCUCUUAUAUAUGCAUUGUUUGUACUAGGGUUUUUACUCCAUGUAUAUUAUUAAUUUUAUAUUAUUUUAUACAUACAAUUUCUUUUAAACCUAUUCCUAUAUUUUGUUAUAUAUAUAUAUAUUUGUUAUUUGAAGGAAAAUCCACGUAUUUUAUGUAUCAUUUAAACAAUUAUUAUUCACAUACUUGGUGUAUAUAUUUGAUCAUAUUAUUUUAAAUAUAUAGUUUUUUUAAAAAGAAAUCUAUUUGUAUAUAUAAUUAUGUUGUUAAAAUAUAUUACGUAUAUAACUUAUGAUAGAGUUAAUUUAAUCUUAUAAUUUAUAUUUUAAUUCCAUGUUAUUUUUGU